CCCGUACUUGGUGACCUCAGGCAGGGUGGACUUCUGGACUAACUACCCAACACAAAGCACCUUCCAAAAAAAUCAGUAUCUGGAUAUCUGCAAUUAAGCAUUUAGAUGACAGUGAUCACUGAGGGCAGGAAAAGACACUUUCUCAUCUUACAUGGAGCACACCAUAGCAUAAAAGAUUCACUCAGAGACAAGUUUAGGCAGCGUGGAGUCAAAGGAGAGAAUGAGGAAUGAAAUAUUUUGGCACAAAAGCAAUUGCUUCUUAAAGGCAAAGUAUCUUUUCUGUAAUUACA